rnacentral:rRNA from 1 species
GAUGAACGCUGGCGGCGUGCCUAAUACAUGCAAGUCGAGCGAACAGACGAGGAGCUUGCUCCUCUGACGUUAGCGGCGGACGGGGGAGUAACACGUGGAUAACCUACCUAUAAGACUGGGAUAACUUCGGGAAACCGGAGCUAAUACCGGAUAAUAUAUUGAACCGCAGGGUUCAUUAGUGAAAGACGGUUUUGCUGUCACUUAUAGAUGGAUCGGCGCGGCAUUAGCUAGUGGGUAAGGUAACGGCUUACCAAGGCAACGAUGCGUAGCCGACCUGAGAGGGUGAUCGGCCACACUGGAACUGAGACACGGUCCAGACUCCUACGGGAGGCAGCAGUAGGGAAUCUUCCGCAAUGGGCGAAAGCUUGACGGAGCAACGCCGCGUGAGUGAUGAAGGUCUUCGGAUCGUAAAACUCUGUUAUUAGGGAAGAACAAAUGUGUAAGUAACUAUGCACGUCUUGACGGUACCUAAUCAGAAAGCCACGGCUAACUACGUG